GAGAAACUUUAGAAUAAUGAUUA
rnacentral:snRNA from 1 species